GUAGCAAUGGUAGCAUCCAUCUUCUUCAUCUCAUCAUCUCAACUUCCAUAAUCGGCACUCGGUAGCUCCAGCCACAGCCAGAGCAUCUUUCAUUUCAAUCAAUCAUCUCUAGUCCUAGUCUCAAUCUCGUAAUUUUUAUUUCACUUUCUUCACACCAUGUUGCAAUGAUUGUAUUUUUCCCUUUGCUUUGAGAUUCUGAUGUAUAAUAAUACAAUUAUUUACGGCUGAAUACAGUUUUUUAAUGGUGGUCAACUUGAGAUACCAGCUUUAAGGCACGCAGGCACGUAUAAAACCAUGGGGCACGAGGUCAAAAUAAAAUCAGUAGACUCUACACAAAACUGACCAAGUUUCUAACAUCCUUUGAAGCUACAGGAAAGGGAAGGAUGCCGCUACAGUCGAAGAGAAUCGGGCCUAUGGAGAUGUCAGCGAAGAUAUAAACACUUUUCAACAAUCACUAGGCCUUUACAUUGAGCCUACAGUUAUUAAUUUUUAAAUCUUUUAAGUGAUUUACUUUAGUUUACAGAUUUGAUAUAUUAUAAGAAUAUUUUGUUCACUUGGUUUUUUGGUCUCUUUUGUGAUUUGACCUUCUAUAAAAAAUGUAUAUUUUGGGCUUUGUGAAAGAAUAAACAAUAUAUUUUUAAA